GGGAGCGGAUAGGUCCCGGUGGGUCUCGCGGACUUCAAAUCUGUCGGGGGGCACCAAAAGUGCCUUCGGUGGGUUCGACUCCCAUACGCUCCCGCCA
rnacentral:tRNA from 1 species